AGCUCCUACACACUUGGCUUGGAGCCCUCCACCCAGAUGGUGGUAUGGUUCAGCCUGCCAAGUUAGAAGGGAGGAGCUAGAGACUUCUUUUAUAGCAAUUGGACCUUUGAGCACUCUCUCUUAUGGCUUGGAAGAGCCUUCCUGAAAGAAGCUCUGGUUUCAGAGGCAGCAGACCAUCAUAUUGAACCACCAUGUGUUGGUGGUGCAUGACACUGUGACUCCUCACAUCUUGGCAAAACAGGAAGCAGAUGGCUUGGACUGGAACCAGAGACACGCAUAACCUUCAGAACCAUCUCCCAAGGACCCACUUCUCUUAGCCAGGCUAGUUCACAGACUUCCAAAGCAGUGAAAUCAACUGGUAUUUCAGGUGUUGAAACACAUGUGCCUGUCAGGGACAUUUCAUAUUUAAAACCAUUAAUGAUGAAGGGGUGACUGUGACAGAUGAGAAGUCUCACUGUGAGCCACUGCUGACUUCACAGCAUAAAUGUUGUGUUUAGGCACAGUAAUUUUUAAAAUUAUUAUCCCUUCCUCCCCCCCUCCCCGUGUCUGUGUGUGUGUGUGUGUGUAUGUGAAGAUGUACAAGUGUGAAGGUCAAAGGUGAAAUGAGUUCUUGCCUUCCACCUUUACAGAAGUGGAUUCCAUUGACUGAACUCAAGUUGCUAGGUUCAUGUGGCAAGAGCUUAACCCACAGAGUCAUCUCACUAGCCGUAAAUACUUAAGAAACAAUAAAACAAGUUUUGGAACUUCA